AUUUCCACUCAGUAUUCAUGGAUGAGGGAUGUGGUUCAGGAGUCAAUCUUUUCCGCUCAGCAUUUGAAGCCAAUUGACCAGACUCCACCUUAAAACCAUCAAAACGUGAAUUCCAUCGUUCAUUCUCCUCCGGAUAAGGUAGAUUUGAGUUCAUCAUCCGCUCAGGGAUCUGUCUAUGAAUCAAUCUUUUCUGCUCAGCAUUUGAAGCCAAUUGACCAGACUCCACCUUAAAACCAUCAAAACGUGAAUUCCAUCGUUCAUUCUCCUCCGGAUAAGGUAGAUUUGAGUUCAUCAUCCGCUCAGGGAUCUGUCUAUGAACAAGAGAUCCAGAAUCAAAGUUUUUAUCAAGAACCUCGGCUUGGGAAAAUUCAUGGUAAUCCCUGUGUUUUGCUGGUUCCAUAUCAGUGAAAGGAUAU
rnacentral:lncRNA from 1 species